AAAACCCAAAAAACACUCGUUCUCCCAAAGUAACAAUCUAACAAAUAUGCUUUCCAUAGUUCUCAACUUAUAUUUCAAAUCUUAAUGAACUCCCUGACAGACAGAAAAUUAGAGAGCCAGGAAUUAACAGCAACAGCAACAAGAGAUUCAAAUAUAUUUUGACACAUACUGUACAUGUUUUUCUCACAUACAUCUGCACAAACUACAGUUGACAGUGUUAAAAUUAUUUUAACAUUAAAAAAAGGUAACAGCACAGUUUUGUUAAAGAUUGACAAAAGUUUUAGAGCACAAGAAAAAAGUAAAUAAGAAGGGGGAUGAAAGAGCAAACAGAAUAAACUGCCUCGAGUAAAUGUUUAAUGCUGUGAAAUGAAGUACAAUGAAUUUUAAAUUCGUUCAACCAAAGAAAACUAAUUUGAGAGACCUUGCUGGCAUUCAGUGAAAAGUUGUUAGUCCUAUUUUCAAUUUCAUGCUGUAUUUUCUCCCUACUCCCUCUAGAGCCACACACACACACACACACACACACACACACACGAGUGAAUAUGCAGUAUCACUCCACCUUUUGAGGGAGAAAACUCUUAAGAAUAAAUGCCAGCCCAAUUACUGCCCUGAGCCCAAUUUCUCAUUGAAUCUUCUUGCUCUAUGUUUAGAAAUCCUGAAGGAAGACUCUCAUUUUCUUGUCUACACAGAGUAAGUGUUCCCUUGGAGUGAGGAAUAAACCAGAAUGACUUCCUGUGGCUUUUAAAUGGAACUAUCAAGAAUCUUGGUAUUAACAUGAAGAACAGUUGCUUGAUAACAUUUUAGGGAGAAAUCAAAACAUCCUCUUUUAGUUAUACCAAGAGCAGAUACAAUUACAAGACGACUUUAUUCUACCCAACAAAUGAAUGGCACAUUUUUCUAUAACAAAGCAAACCCAUGAGUUUUGGACAUUCUGAUAUAAAAAUAGGUUAUUCGCCUUCUUUUUACAGUGACCACUUAAUUAUAGAAGCAGUUACUAACACAAGUGUAUUUGACAUAAUCAUGAGUUAUGAAAACACAUUGGAAAAAUUAAAUAACCCAAGAGUUUCUCAACAUAGGAAAAACAUGGCCUGGUCCUCUCUGCAUGUGCUCUGUGCUGCCGUGACAACCCAGCUGCCCCCGUCGAGGCUCCAGCGUGGCCAGGACUGGGCCCAGCUGUAACAAUGGGCACUGUGCAGGGCCUGGGACAGCCACGCUGGCACUGACCUGGAAAAAUACAGCCCUCCAAGCAGCCAGGGCUGCUUUCACGGAACAGCAAAGCAGCAGCAAACACCGCCAACACUCAGACAUCAAGCGGCUCAGCAUUUUGGAAAUCUGAUUUCCUUAGAAAGAUCAUCAAUGUUGACUUACCAUUACACAAGUGAAAGACUCAUAGGGGAACCUAAUCCUGAAAGCUCAAACUCUUUGAAAGGACUUCAAACGCUAUUCAGAGUCAACAGAUAAUAUGAUAAUAAACUUAGAGGGCAAAGGUCUACGAAAUGCAGAAAUCACCAAUUUCAACACAGGUCCCUCCAGAUCCCACCCUGGAUUCAAGAAUUUCCUCCUGACUCAGAAGCACCCUACACUCUGCACCAUGGACCCUGAAACUGAGAUGGAAGCACUCUACGGUCUGCACCAUGGACCCUGAAACUGAGAUGGGAGCACCCUACAGUCUGCACCAUGGACCCUGAAACGGAGAUGGGAAGGAGCCCUAUCUCACCACCCUCCUAUCUCACGCUCUUCUGUCUGGACCUAAUGUUGAACUCUCAGUCAAUACAAUCCAUUCUGUUUUCAGGUAACCACAAGUCAAGAAGUCCUUAUGUUAACAAUUCAUUACCUGACUGUUUUUGUCUUUUUGGUCAUUCAAGUUCUGCCUUUUUGAAACAACACAAAAAGAUACCUUUCCUUCGUAUCAUUCAAAUACUUAAGGAUGUCCUUCAAAUACCUAAGUCUCUUCUUUUCAAUUUUUAGCUCCUUUAUCCUUCUGCUUACAUCUCUAUGUGCCAUAGGUUGAAAAUGCCUUUCCUAAAGAGGAACCCUGGAUUAACAACCAGUGAAGAACAGAAAGACUCACCCUUUUUGUCUCAGAUACACAGCUUUUCUGUUAUUCUAGUCUAAAAUAAUGGCAACUUUGAAAAUUGUGUUCUCCAUUUACUUAUCUGUAUAGACCUGUGCUACAGGAACACCCACAGCUCUAUUAUCAUACAUCAUGAAGAAGUAAUCAAUGUUUAUAGGAUUAAAAUGAAACUUAAAGCCAUCUAGUUCAAUCUCUAACCACUUCAGGAAUCCCUUACAGAAAAUUCCUAUGUGUUUCAAUUUCUACAGAAUUAGCAGUUUGUCUAUACAUUUUUUGUAGCAGAAAUAUAAGAAUGUUAGCUGCUGGGAUUUGAACUGUGUUUGUAUUUUUUUUUUUUCAAAUAAAAAUCUAACAACUUCA